UUAGAUACCCCUGUAGUCCCAGCCGUAAACUAUGCUCGCUAGGUGUCAGGCAUGGCGCGACCGUGUCUGGUGCCGCAGGGAAGCCGUGAAGCGAGCCACCUGGGAAGUACGGCCGCAAGGCUGAAACUUAAAGGAAUUGGCGGGGAGCACCACAACGGGUGGAGCCUGCGGUUUAAUUGGACUCAACGCCGGGAAGCUCACCGGAUAAGACAGCGGAAUGAUUGCCGGGCUGAAGACUCUGCAUGACUAGCUG
rnacentral:rRNA from 1 species